rnacentral:rRNA from 1 species
UGAGACACGGCCCAGACUCCUACGGGAGGCAGCAGUAGGGAAUCUUCCGCAAUGGACGAAAGUCUGACGGAGCAACGCCGCGUGAGUGAUGAAGGUUUUCGGAUCGUAAAGCUCUGUUGCCAGGGAAGAACGCUUGGGAGAGUAACUGCUCUCAAGGUGACGGUACCUGAGAAGAAAGCCCCGGCUAACUACGUGCCAGCAGCCGCGGUAAUACGUAUGGGGCAAGCGUUGUCCGGAAUUAUUGGGCGUAAAGCGCGCGCAGGCGGUUCAUUAAGUCUGGUGUUUAACCCCGGGGCUCAACCCCGGGUCGCACUGGAAACUGGUGGACUUGAGUGCAGA